rnacentral:rRNA from 1 species
AGUGAACGCUGGCGGUAGGCCUAACACAUGCAAGUCGAACGGCAGCACAGUAAGAGCUUGCUCUUACGGGUGGCGAGUGGCGGACGGGUGAGGAAUUCAUCGGAAUCUGCUUUUUCGUGGGGGAUAACGUAGGGAAACUUACGCUAAUACCGCAUACGACCUACGGGUGAAAGCAGGGGAUCUUCGGACCUUGCGCGAUUGAAUGAGCCGAUGUCGGAUUAGCUAGUUGGCGGGGUAAAGGCCCACCAAGGCGACGAUCCGUAGCUGGUCUGAGAGGAUGAUCAGCCACACUGGAACUGAGACACGGUCCAGACUCCUACGGGAGGCAGCAGUGGGGAAUAUUGGACAAUGGGCGCAAGCCUGAUCCAGCCAUACCGCGUGGGUGAAGAAGGCCUUCGGGUUGUAAAGCCCUUUUGUUGGGAAAGAAAAGCAGCAGGUUAAUACCCCGCUGUUCUGACGGUACCCAAAGAAUAAGCACCGGCUAACUUCGUG